CCGCGUGAGGGAUGACGGCCUUCGGGUUGUAAACCUCUUUCAGUAGGGAAGAAGCGAAAGUGACGGUACCUGCAGAAGAAGCGCCGGCUAACUACGUGCCAGCAGCCGCGGUAAUACGUAGGGCGCAAGCGUUAUCCGGAAUUAUUGGGCGUAAAGAGCUCGUAGGCGGUUUGUCGCGUCUGCCGUGAAAGUCCGGGGCUCAACUCCGGAUCUGCGGUGGGUACGGGCAGACUAGAGUGAUGUAGGGGAGACUGGAAUUCCUGGUGUAGCGGUGAAAUGCGCAGAUAUCAGGAGGAACACCGAUGGCGAAGGCAGGUCUCUGGGCAUUAACUGACGCUGAGGAGCGAAAGCAUGGGGAGCGAACAGGAUUAGAUACCCUGGUAGUCCAUGCCGUAAACGUUGGGCACUAGGUGUGGGGGACAUUCCACGUUUUCCGUACCGUAGCUAACGCAUUAAGUGCCCCGCCUGGGGAGUACGGCCGCAAGGCUAAAACUCAAAGGAAUUGACGGGGGCCCGCACAAGCGGCGGAGCAUGCGGAUUAAUUCGAUGCAACGCGAAGAACCUUACCAAGGCUUGACAUGAACCGGAAACGCCUGGAAACAGGUGCCCCGCUUGCGGUCGGUUUACAGGUGGUGCAUGGUUGUCGUC
rnacentral:rRNA from 1 species